rnacentral:rRNA from 1 species
UAUGGUUGGCCAACGUCAGUUUCGUUUACCAUAAAAUGAUCAGGGGAAUGUAGCUUCGAUCUCGUAUUGAAGUGUUAUAGACUUUGGUAGAUGUGGUAAACGAAACUGAGGAUUGCAACGAAUACCCCUUCGGGCUAUCCGUCUGGCCUCUGAUAGUCGCCUAGGUGCCGAAAGCUUGCUUACGGUCGUCUAAGGUGGCGGUCAAAAGGUUAGAACGCGAUUACAUUCGUUAAGGAUGUUGACGUAACCACCCCAUGUGCGGU